CCUACGGGUGGCAGCAGUGAGGAAUAUUGGUCAAUGGCCGGAAGGCUGAACCAGCCAAGCCGCGUGAAGGACGAAGGUGCCAAGCAUUUUAAACUUCUUUUGUCAAGGGACAAAAUCAGGCUCGAGAGCCUGACCGUGGGUACUUGAAGUAAAAGCAUCGGGUAACUCCGUCCCAGCAGCCGCGGUAAUACGGGGGAUGCGAGCGUUAUCCGGAUUUAUUGGGUUUAAGGGGAGGGUAGGCGGGCUGUUAAGUCAGCGGUAAAAGCCCGGGGUUAAACUCCGGCGAGCGGUUGAAACUGGCGGUCUGGAGAUGUCAAGAGGUGUGCGGAAUGCGCAGUGUAGCGGUGAAAUGCGUAGAUAUUGCGCAGAACACCGAUUGCGAAGGCAGCAUUCCGGCGGCGAUCUGACGCUGAGGCACGAAAGCGUGGGUAGCGAACAGGAUUAGAUACCCGUGUAGUC
rnacentral:rRNA from 1 species